UACGUAGGCAGCGAGCGUUGUUCGGAGUUACUGGGCGUAAAGAGUGCGUAGGCGGUUUUCUAAGUUUGGUGUGAAAUCUCCCGGCUUAACUGGGAGGGUGCGCCGAAGACUGGAAGGCUUGAGUAUGGGAGAGGUAAGCGGAAUUCUGGUGUAGCGGUGAAAUGACGUAGAUAUCAGGAGGAACACCGGUGGCGAAGGCGGAUCUCUGGGCCGAUACUGACGUGAGGAGCGAAAGCGUGGGGAGCGAACAGG
rnacentral:rRNA from 1 species